GCAUAUCAAUAAGCGGAGGAAAAGAAACCAACAGGGAUUGCCUUAGUAACGGCGAGUGAAGCGGCAAAAGCUCAAAUUUGAAAUCGGCCAUCAGGUCGAGUUGUAAUUUGUAGAUUGUACUUUGAGAGCGGAUUAAAGUCUGUUGGAACACAGCGCCUUAGAGGGUGACAGCCCCGUAAAAUCUAUUCUCAUUGUAAAGUACUUUCGAAGAGUCGAGUUGUUUGGGAAUGCAGCUCUAAGUGGGAGGUAAAUUCCUUCUAAAGCUAAAUAUUGACGAGAGACCGAUAGCGAACAAGUACUGUGAAGGAAAGAUGAAAAGCACUUUGAAAAGAGAGUGAAAAAGUACGUGAAAUUGUUAAAAGGGAAGGGUAUUGAAUCAGACGUGGUGCUGUUGUUCAACUUUGUUUCGGCAUGGUGUACUCAGCAGUACUAGGCCAAGGUGGGGUGUUUGGGAGUGAAAAAGGAAUAGGAACGUAGCUCUUCGGAGUGUUAUAAUCUAUUUUCAUAGCUCCUCAGGCGCCUCAGGACUGCGCUCGGCAAGGACUUUGGCAUAAUGAUUCUAUACCGCCCGUCUUGAAACACGGACC
rnacentral:rRNA from 1 species